rnacentral:rRNA from 1 species
GUGGGGAAUAUUGGACAAUGGGUGCAAGCCUGAUCCAGCAAUGCCGCGUGUGUGAAGAAGGUCUUCGGAUCGUAAAGCACUUUCGACGGGGACGAUGAUGACGGUACCCGUAGAAGAAGCCCCGGCUAACUUCGUGCCAGCAGCCGCGGUAAUACGAAGGGGGCUAGCGUUGCUCGGAAUUACUGGGCGUAAAGGGCGCGUAGGCGGCUCUGUGAGUCAGGCGUGAAAUUCCUGGGCUUAACCUGGGGACUGCGCUUGAUACUGCAGGGCUUGAGGCCGAGAGAGGGUGGUGGAAUUCCCAGUGUAGAGGUGAAAUUCGUAGAUAUUGGGAAGAACACCGGUGGCGAAGGCGACCACCUGGCUCGGUACUGACGCUGAGGCGCGACAGCGUGGGAGCAAACAGGAUUAGAAACCCUUGUAGUCC